AGUGAACGCUGGCGGUAGGCCUGACACAUGCCAGUCGAACGGCAGCACAGUAAGAGCUUGCUCUUACGGGUGGCGAGUGGCGGACGGGUGAGGAAUACAUCGGAAUCUACUUUUUCGUGGGGGAUAACGUAGGGAAACUUACGCUAAUACCGCAUACGACCUACGGGUGAAAGCAGGGGAUCUUCGGACCUUGCGCGAUUGAAUGAGCCGAUGUCGGAUUAGCUAGUUGGCGGGGUAAAGGCCCACCAAGGCGACGAUCCGUAGCUGGUCUGAGAGGAUGAUCAGCCACACUGGAACUGAGACACGGUCCAGACUCCUACGGGAGGCAGCAGUGGGGAAUAUUGGACAAUGGGCGCAAGCCUGAUCCAGCCAUACCGCGUGGGUGAAGAAGGCCUUCGGGUUGUAAAGCCCUUUUGUUGGGAAAGAAGAGCAGCAGGUUAAUACCCCGCUGUUCUGACGGUACCCAAAGAAUAAGCACCGGCUAACUUCGUG
rnacentral:rRNA from 1 species